GGGGAACCUGGCCUGCCAGGCUUGCCUGGGCCCCCCGGACCAAAGGGAGAAGCUGGUGAUGUUGGCCUGCCUGGCACUGCAGGAUCGCGGGGGGAAAAGGGGGAACCUGGUGCACCUGGAGAGCGGGGACCCAUGGGCCCACGGGGCCCCAAAGGAGAGCCUGGAAAGGAUGAAAUAAUGGACUAUGAUGGCAACAUCAGUGAAGCUCUGCAGGAAAUACGAACUUUGGCCUUGAUGGGACCCCCAGGACUCCCAGGUGUGGCUGGGCCUCCAGGGCCACCAGGACAGAAGGUAUUUGCUCAGCUCAGCACUUGAAUAUACAAGGGGGAAGUAGGAG
rnacentral:lncRNA from 1 species